GUCGGGUAGUUUGGUGAAAAUAGUAGGUAGUUAUCGCGAACGAACUGAAGUUGGCAAGUUUCGUGGUUGAUUGGAUAAAUGGGGAAAAAAGAAAUUUUGCCCUGCCCCUGGGUACUUGUCUUCCAGUAGGCAGACAGGUUUGAAACUCUUCAACUUUCCCAGGGAUUCAGCACGGGCUCUGGUAUGGGCAGGAAGAGUUGGGAUAUCCUGCACUAUAAAUUUUUGUGCAGGAGAAAGUGAUUUCACUACAGCUGAACAGAUUUGCAGUUCCAUGUAGCUCAGAUUUACAGCACAAUCACUGCCACAACCUCCUGAUCCUUCAUUACACAACAUUUCAGGAGGGUACUGCAGUGAAUACUUUCAACAGCUGCAUUUAUUGAGGAGGUUGACAAACUCUUUGAGAGUUUAAAUGGUGGAAUGCCUGUUGACCCUGGAAAGCACUGUGUUGCCCACUAAGUGAUAACAGUCCUCAGUAUAGAGUACUGGUUAUCCGCUUCAGCAGGGAACACUGAGAAGCAGGAUCAAUAUCAGGAUUCAGUGUGGGUAGGACUUUUGUGUAAUUUAUUUACCUAUUUUCUUUUUGGUAUAUUCUAUUUUAUUAUUA